ACCUGCCCACUGAUUAAUUUAAGGGCCGCGGUAUUCCUAACCGUGCUAAGGUAGCAUAAUCAUUAGUCUCUUAAUUGGAGGCUUGUAUGAAAGGUUGGACGAGAAAUAUACUGUUUCAAAUAAAAAAUUUGAAUUUAACUUUUAAGUGAAAAGGCUUAAAUAAAUUAAAAAGACGAUAAGACCCUAUAAAUCUUAACGGUAAAGUUAAUGUUUUUUGAUUUAUUAGUAUAAAAAAAUACUUAAACUAUACGUUUGGUUGGGGCGACAUAAAUAUAAAAUAAUUAACUGUUUGAAUAUUUAAACAAUUAUUGUUGAAGUGAAAUGAUCCUGCUAUAGAGAUUAAAAGACCAAGUUACUUUAGGGAUAACAGCGUUAUUCUUUUUGAGAGUUCUUAUUAAAAAAAGAGUUUGCGACCUCGAUGUUGAAUUAAAAAUUCUUUAUGGUGCAGCAGCUAUGAAAGAAAGUCUGUUCGACUUUUAAAUUUUUACAUGAUUUGAGUUCAGACCGGUGUGAGCCAGGUCGGUUUCUAUCUUUUAAUAAAAUAAAAAUUGUUUUAGUACGAAAGGAUUAAACAAUUAAAAUAAUUUUAUUUAUUAGAAUAAUAUUAUAGCCUUAACAAUAUAA
rnacentral:rRNA from 1 species